rnacentral:rRNA from 1 species
CAUGUAGGCGGGCUUUUAAGUCCGACGUGAAAAUGCGGGGCUUAACCCCGUAUGGCGUUGGAUACUGGAAGUCUUGAGUGCAGGAGAGGAAAGGGGAAUUCCCAGUGUAGCGGUGAAAUGCGUAGAUAUUGGGAGGAACACCAGUGGCGAAGGCGCCUUUCUGGACUGUGUCUGACGCUGAGAUGCGAAAGCCAGGGUAGGCAAACG